GAUUGCAAGAGGACCCACCUGUGGGUGUCAGUGGUGCACCAUCUGAAAACAACAUCAUGCAGUGGAAUGCAGUUAUAUUUGGGCUCCGGACAUGCAGGCCCAGCGGCCAUGGCUCACGGGCCCAGCCGCUCCACGGCACGCGGGAUCCUCCCGGACCAGGCCACAAACCAGCGUCCUCCGCAUCGGCAGGUGGACUCCCAACCACUGCGCCACCAGGGAAGGCCUUCUUUUUUUAAUAUUUAUUUAUUUAUGUAUUUUUGGUUGCAUUGCUGUGCAUGGGCUUUCUCUAGUUGCAGCGAGUGGGGGCUACUCGUUGCAGUGCCCAGGCUUCUCAUUGCGGAGGCUUCUCUUGUUGCAGAGCACAUGCUCUAGGUGCGCAGGCUUCAGUAGUUGUGGCAGGCAGGCUUAGUUGCUCCGCGGCAUGUUGGGAUCUUCCUGGACCAGGGCUCGAACAUUUGUUCCCUGCAUUGGCAGGCGGAUUCUUAACCACUGCGUCACUAGGGAAGUCCAUGGUGUCAUAAUUAUCUUAAACUAAAGGGUAUUGAUUUCCAUCUUACAUUGAAAGUAAGACUUUUCCUCUUAAGAAUACAGAUAUUUACAAAAGCGUUGGUAUUUAUGAACUGAAUUCUUUUUGUGCUAAAAUUAUGACAAGUUUUUUUUGUUUUGUUUUUUGAAAAGCCACCCUAAAAGGAAAACUUUGAAAAUUAAAGUUACCCUUUAUGUCUACAUCAAUAAAAAUCCAGGGCUAUGGUGAUACUAAAUUAAUAAUAACUUAAAUACUCCACAAAUUACCAGAAUGAGCCCCUCUUUCUCUGAGUUUAUUCUUUCCACUUGUGAAAAUCAGGAAAAAGCAGAAUGAAAAACUUCUUUUAAUCAGAAAUCUUCUUGUUUUCAGACCAGAAGGGACACCCUUUGAAGAUGGUACUUUUAAACUAGUAAUAGAAUUUUCUGAAGAAUAUCCAAAUAAACCGCCAACUGUUAGGUUUUUAUCCAAAAUGUUUCAUCCAAAUGGUAAGUAGCAAUUUAUUAGCCUUUGCAAAUGAUAGGAGGAAAAAAGAGUUGUUUCAUCCUUUUAGGUCUUGCCCAUACUUCUCGUUAUUAGGGCCCACUUCUAGAUGUUGCUUCUAUGUCAAUAUUAACCAUACUUUUGUAGUCUGGAAUCUUAUCAAGGUUCUAGAUUUGAGAUAAAGUUUUGUUUUAAUAACUUCUGAUUUUAAAGUAAUAUCUAUUUAUUUAUCAAAAUGUGAAAGAUACUAAGGAUUUAUAGCUUAAAAUUUAGCUUGCAGGUAAAUGUACAAAAUUAAGAUCAUGUUGUAUGUAAGGUUAAGUAAUUUAUAUAUAACAUGAACAUUUUCACUCAUUAAACAUUCUUUUGUAUCUUUUUUUUUCUCCUCCUUUGGCCGCGCCACGCGGCUUUGGGGUCUUAGUUCCCCAACGAGGGAUCGAACCUGGGCCCCCGGCAGGGAGAGCACGGAGUCCUAACCACUGGACCACCAGGGAAUUCCCUAUAUCAUUCUUAAUGGCUGCAAAAUGUUCUGUUAUAUGAGUUUAUCAUUAUUUAUUUAAUCAUUGUCCAGUUGGUGAUUUUUAAUUGUUUACAGUUUUAAACAGCACAUUUUUCUUGAAAAUAAAUCUUCUCAAAUACCCAUGAAUAAGUUUUUAGAAGUAGGAUUAGUAGGUCAAAGGUUUGUAUGUUUUUAAGGGUUUUUUUUAAAUACAGUUUUCCUCCCUUGUUACUAUUUUUACUUUUAGCAGUUUAUUACUAUUUUCCAUAAAUGAUUGCUAAGUGACUUUUGUAAUUAAAUUUGCUCUUCCUGACUUAUUGCUCUUUACUUCUAAUAAAUUUGUAUUCCUGGAUUAUAAAUUACUGUAUGAAAGACUUAUUUUACAGAAUAUUUAAGUUCUCUUUUAAAUGUGGUUUUCCAUCAGUUAACUUACUUUCAGGAGGAACAUUUUCAGAGGUCCUCUUGAUUGUGCAUCUAGUCUAGAACUACAGACUACGUGAGAAAACUGCAGGCAGAUAGGGAUCUCCCUACUCAUAGGAGAGAGGUGUGUUUGUGUGUCUGGAAUCAAGGUGACUUCCCAAUAAUAGAUUAGAUCAUAGAUUUAGCCUUUGUGCUUUAUUGCUGUGAAGUUGCUUUUUCUUUCAAGGUCUUCCCCCACCCAGAGGCAAGGCAGAUUUAAUUUUAUUUUCUGUUUCUGUCCUGAGGAAAUUUUCAAGUCACUUAUUAUCAUUUAUUCUACUGUAGCUUUACUAGCUUAGACUUGUUAGUGAAUCGACCCAAACUGUAGUAAGGGAGCUCUGUAAAUCAAGGUAGAAAACACUGGAAUGUGCAAGGAGUAUAUGUGUAUAGGCUUAAGAUUUUCAGCCUUAACAAAUUUAUAAGGAAACAGCGUAUUUGAUUUUUAUCCCUUCAUAUUAAUAACAUGGUUUCCCUUUUUUCCACUAUCAGUACCUUAUUUAGUUAACUUCCUAGUUUGCUUUUUUUUAAACAUCUUUAUUAAAAGAUUCACAUACUGUGCUACUCACCCAUUUAAGUUGUACAAUUCAGUGGUUUUUAGUAUCGUCACUGAGUUGUGCAACCAUCACCAUUAUCAAUUUUAGAACAUUUUUAUCACCCUCCCCCCAAAAUCCCAUGCCUAUUAGCAGUCACUCCCCAUCCCCAUCCCCCCGCCUCCCAGCCAUAGGCAACCACUGAUGUAUUUUCACUCUACAGGUUUGCUUAUUCCGGACAUUUCAUAUAAAUGGAAUCAUUUAAUAUAUGUGGUCCUUUGUGAUUGAUUUCUUUCAGCUGACACAGUUUUCAGGUUCAUCUGUGUUGUAACACAUACCUGUACUUCAUUUCCUUUUAUUGCUGAAUGAUAAUCCAUUGUAUGGAUAGACUACAUUUUGUUCAUUCAUCAGUUGAUGGAUGUUCAGUUUCUAGUUUACUUUUGGAUUACUUCUCAAAAAUAGUUACUAGUUCAAAACUUUAAAAUCAUUUUACAGUUUUAUGGGUUUUACAGAGGUGAUGAUUUUUGCUUUGGACUUGCUAAGUUUGAUGUUCCUAUGGGAUACACAGUAAGUGGUUGACUAUGCUGCUUUAAAGCUGAGAGUUAAAUCUGGUCUAACGCUAACAAUUGGAAGUACCUAGCACAUAGAUAGUAAUAAUUGAGGCCAUGAAUAAAAUUGCCCAGAGGGUGUGUAAUGGGUAAGAAGGAAGAGGACCGAGGAUAGAGCCCUGAGGAAUGACAGUACUUAAGUGUAAUUUGCCUCCUCUCCCCAAAAAGGCCUCACUUAUUCCUGUUUGAUGCAGAGUGGUCUGGCUUGUUCUGCAUUCCACAGUUUGGCAGUAUCUAUAACAUUUAAAUAUAUUUAUCCUUUGUCAACACAGCAAUUCUGCUUCUGGAAAUUUAUUGUAGAGAUAAAUAAUCUGGCAAGUUCUGGAUAAAAAUUUAUGUUCAUUGUAUUCUCACAUAAUCAGUUCAGGAGGGGGGAAAAGCCUCUCAAAUGUUAGACUUUUAAAACGGUAGCCCUUGAUUUUUAUUUUUAUUAUGAAAGGAAUGCAUACUUAUUGGAAAAACAAAUCAUAAAGUACAAGGAAAGGUAAAGAAGAUAAUACCCUUCAUAAUCCUAUUUACAGAUAUUUACAUUUUGGCAUUUAGUCUUACAGAUGUUUUUGUGACUGCAUAUACUUCAGAUGAAAAUAUUUAUAAAUAAUUCUUUAUAAAAAAUGGAAUUAUCCUAAAUAAGUAAUUGGAAACUUAUUAAUGUAAUAUAUUGAGGGUGUCAUUCUACAUUAAUUAACAUAUGGUAGAUGUAUAUCAUUUCUGGCGGCAGUAUUGGUAUGUACCGUUAAUAAUGUACCAUUAUUUAGCCAGUCCCCUCACUGUGGACCAAAGGUAGUUUCCAGUUUGUCACUUCUAUAAAGAGUAUUAUAGUGAACAUCCUGUAAAUAAAACUUUGCAUGUCCAUGAUUAUUACUUUUAGAGUAGAAUUGCUAUGUCAAAAAUUCAGCUUUUUUAUCCCCCCAACAAUUUUAUUUAGGAAUAUUUGGAAAUGUGGAAUUUAAACAGAUUUGCUAUAUGGUAUGUAAUGAAAAAAUUUAACUCUCACUCAGCCUCCUGAUCAAAAGGCGUGUAAAGAGUCCUUAGUUUGAGACUGAUUUUCCUGUGAGACAAAAAGUUUUAGUUAUUGACUAAUGUUCAAGAUUUCUGACUGAGCCAAGCAUUCGGUUUGUGGUAAAAAUUUCUCUUUAAUUGUUAGAAAUGACAAAGUUAAUAUGUAACCAAUUUUAGUGUUGUCUUUGCAGUGUAUGCUGAUGGUAGCAUAUGUUUAGAUAUCCUUCAGAAUAGAUGGAGUCCAACAUACGAUGUAUCUUCUAUCUUAACAUCAAUUCAGGUAAGCAUGUGUUAGGAUGCAUCUUAACUUUUCAAGAUUCUAUGGGAUAUAAUUGGCUCUUUUAGGAUCAAUUUAAAGGCCAAGUGAGCAAACUAACCUUCCCAACACUAAGGUAACCAGUGGCAGAGCUUGGACAAAACCCUCAUGAUUUUUAUACAACCGAUCUGCUUUUUCAUUCGGGACCACAUUGGAUCAAAUACACAAUCAUUCUGAUCAAAUUUAAGUAUAAAGUGUUCUCACAGGUCAGGUGUUUGUUUUGUUUCGUUUGGGUUUUUUGGUUUUUUUUUUUUUUGCCACACCACAAGGCUUGUGGAAUCUUAGUUCCCUGACCAGGGAUUGAACCCAUACCCCCUGCAGUGAAGGUGCAGCGUCCUAACCACUGGACCACCAGGGAAUUCCCUCACGGGUCAAGUAUUAUUCGUGCCCAAAAAGAAGAGUCUUCUUGGGGAGAGAUAAAGAUGAUUGUUUAGAAAAAAACAUAGGGACCUCAAGAAACUGCAGAAGUGCAGAGAAGCAUUGAGUAUGUUGCCCCAUCCAAGAAAUUCUAUUUUAAACGAAAGUAAAUAACUAUUUGCCAAAGUACUCUGGCAGAAUAUUUCAGAGUUGACCUUGAAUGACAGUUUGGGGGAGGGGUGGGGGGUGAGUGAUGUUUUAGUUAUAUGGAUUUGAGAGGAGCAGAAGUAACGUUUUUGGUUUAUGACAUUUUUAAAGUUUUUUCUGUCACACUUCUGCUUUAAUUCAGGUCAUCUUAUAAAGUGUUUUCGGCUUUCCUGUUUCAUUCCCUUGCUGCUAGGUGCAUAUGUUUUGUUGAUUAAAGGAAACAAGGUACACCACCCAACUUACUGUCAGAAAUUUGCAAACUUACCUCAGUAAUAGAGUUUAACUUUGGAAAAUGUUAGUUGCUAAGCUAUUUUAUAGAUAUUGUGUAUUAACCAAAUCAAGUUGUUUAUUUCCUGGUUAAUGUCUCAGUAUGCUGAAGAAUACUGUUCUUUUCCAAUUUCUUUGAGAUUAGAGAUCUUAAGGCAAUUAAGAACUAUCUGUUUUGAAAGCUUAAGUUUUCUAGCAGCAGGAAACUUCUUACUGUAUUUAUCAAACCAUUUCUGAAAGUACUUAGAUCUAAAAAUAUGUAAGACGUACUAAUUUCUGUCUUUCUUCGUAGAAUAAUUUGUUUUAUACAACUUCUGUGCUCCAUAUCGGACCCAUGUUAAUAUAAAGAAUAACUCUACAAAUAUGUUUUAUCUCUGUCUUUCCUUCUAGUCUCUGCUGGAUGAACCAAAUCCAAAUAGUCCAGCCAAUAGCCAGGCAGCACAGCUUUAUCAGGAAAACAAACGAGAAUAUGAGAAAAGAGUUUCGGCCAUUGUUGAACAAAGCUGGAAUGAUUCAUAAUAGACAACUGGUCUGUUAAUCUUUUUCAUCAUUGUUGUGUAUAAUUUACCUCUCAGUAGAAAGGCUAACAAAUUUUAAGUGCCACAGGUUUUAAGGAUUCUGCAGAAAAAAAAACCUUCGGUUUAGAACCUACAAAAGCUUGUGUAUCUUGAUUAAUGUACUUUUUAUUGCAUGGUGUGAACUAAGUUAUUGCUUACAUAAAUUUGUAAUAUAUCCUGUUUGUAUUUUUUUCCAAGUGUAUAAUGUUGGUGUGGAGUUUUCAUGACAGAAUAUACACAUUUUGUAAAUCUGUACUUUUUUCAAAUAUUGAAUGCCUUAUUUUUGAAUUCUUUAGAUUUUUAAAUUGGAGAAAAGCACUUAAAGUUUUUUAUAUAUGAAUAUUACAUGUAAAGCUGUUAAAAUACAUAACUUCAGUGCAA